CUGAAAGUGAAGCCACCAAAACCCAUUACAGGCAGUAGUUUUAAAAGCCCUUUGGAUGCCUUGAAGAAAGUGGAUGAUGGCAGCAUGCUUGGCCUGGGGUACAAUCACCUAAUCAAGGACUUCCAGUGGGAGCAGCAGGAAGCAAUAUUCCGCAGCACUUAUCGGGAGUAUCUGGAGGCUGAGGGUGAGAGAGAGAGUAAGGAAGACAUCCCCAGACAUGCUACUUUUCAUUUUCUCCUGCCUAGCCGGAUCCUACAGGUGGGACCUGAAAUCAAAGUACAUCCAGGUAUCCAAAUGGGCAAAAAGCUGUUAACUAAUGAAGCAUGUUGUUGCAUGACAUUGAACUCCACUUAAAGCUCAAUGGCUCUGGC
rnacentral:lncRNA from 1 species